rnacentral:rRNA from 1 species
UACGUAGGGGGCAAGCGUUAUCCGGAUUUACUGGGUGUAAAGGGAGCGUAGACGGCUGUGCAAGCCAGAUGUGAAAGCCUGGGGCUCAACCCCGGGACUGCAUUUGGAACUGUGUGGCUGGAGUGUCGGAGAGGCAGGCGGAAUUCCUAGUGUAGCGGUGAAAUGCGUAGAUAUUAGGAGGAACACCAGUGGCGAAGGCGGCCUGCUGGACGAUGACUGACGUUGAGGCUCGAAAGCGUGGGGAGCAAACAGG